rnacentral:pre_miRNA from 1 species
UCCCAAAAUUCUUGUCUUAAAUUUGUCUAAAUACGGAUGUAUCUAGUUAUAUUUUAGUGUUAGAUACAUCCGUAUCUAAACAAAUGUAAGACAAGAAUUUUGGGA